GGCCUCGUAGCUCAGUGGAAAGAGUGUCCGCCUCCGGAGCGGAAGGUCCUGGGUUCGACCCCCAGCUAGGUCG
rfam:Smittium culicis strain GSMNP scaffold-4329, whole genome shotgun sequence.